AGUCCCAGUUCACAGCAGUCAGAAAUGCUGAAGUCUGGACCACAGACGCCAAUGAGGUCAGAACCUGGAGCAUGGCCCCUGCUGGUUGGAAGGCAAAGUCAUGCAGCCGCCUUGGAAGACAACUUAGCUGUUUCUUACACAGCUAAGCGGGUGCCCGGCAUAUGGCCCGGCACUGCCUUCCUCGCUAUGAUCCAAAAGACUUGAAGCUAUCGCUAUAUCGAAACCACGUGUGUGGGGCCUGAGAGACGGCUCGGUGGUGAGGCGCACACACCGCUCCUGCAGAAGACCCGAGUUCUGUUCCCAGCAGCCACAUCAAGGCAGCUCACAACCUCCUGCAGCUCCAUCUGCGGGGCAUCUGAUGCCCCCUUCUGGCCUCUGUGGAUAUAUGCACAUACCCCUACACAGACGUACAAUGUAAUUAUGAACAAAUACCUACCUGUGCACAGUUCUAGCAGCUUUAGUUUAUAACUGUGAAAACUUGAGAUCAACCCAGCUGUUCUUUGCCACACGAGUGGAUAAGUCGGUUUUGGUACAUCCCAGCACUGGGAUGCUGUUUGGGAUGCAAUGGGAUACUGUACAAGACACGAAAUGAGAAUGCCUUGGAGACAGUGCAAAGUCAGUUGUGGAUAGAGGGAACACAGCGGACUUUGUUUUGUGUGAUACGUAAAGAUGGAGCUGGAACUUUACAGGUCUACCCAGAACUGUGGAAUGUGCAACGCCCACAGUGAGCCCUGACGAAAACCACCGGCUGGGUGAUGAUGAUGCCUCAGUGAAGGGUCAUCAUGUGUGCUGUGCUGGUGUCUUCCAAAUGGAGAGAGAAGAGUGAUCCUAACGCUCAAAAGGACCUUAAAGGCUUGGAGGAUGUUGGAUAUUGCAGGGGAGUCAGACAAUCUGACGGUGGAAAGGUAAUCCAGUACGGUUCAGUCCUGGAAGGCCUCUGUCAAGUAAAGAAUUCUGGACCUAACCUGGGACAGUGAAGAGCAAGGGUCUGACCAGUGGAAAAAGGCACGGAGAGCAUGGUGUAGUCGGUGGGAGUGGAGCCCUGGGCACAAGUUCAGAACCCACACCCAGGGAACAGCGGUUACACACACAGGAAAAUGGGAUAUGAUGGUCUCCCAAGAAAGCCUGGCACAUCCUGUCUAUUCCUGCCUUUGGUUCCUGCCUUUGGUUCCUGCCUUUGGUUCCUGCCUUCGGUUCCUGCCUUCGGUUCCUGCCUUGGCUUCCCUUGACGAUGCACUGUCACCUGCUAAAUAA